rnacentral:tRNA from 1 species
GCGCCUAUAGCUCAGCUCGGUUAGAGCGCUUCGCUGAUAACGAAGAGGUCCCUGGUUCAAGUCCAGGUAGGCGCA